rnacentral:rRNA from 1 species
AUUGAACGCUGGCGGAAUGCCUAACACAUGCAAGUCGAGCGGGGUAGCAAUACCCAGCGGCGGACGGGUGAGGAAUACAUAGGAAUUUGCCUUUAGGCGGGGGAUAGCUUGGGGAAACUCAAGGUAAUACCGCAUGAUCUCGCAAGAGCAAAGUGGGGGACCGCAAGGCCUCACGCCUUUAGAGAAACCUAUGUCUGGUUAGCUUGUUGGUGAGGUAACGGCUCACCAAGGCAACGAUCAGUAACUGGUCUGAAAGGACGAUCAGUCAGCACCGGAACUGAGACACGGUCCGGACUCCUACGGGAGGCAGCAUUGGGGAAUAUUGGACAAUGGGCGCAAGCCUGAUCCAGCAAUUCCGCGUGUGUGAAGAAGGCCUUCGGGUUGUAAAGCACUUUAGGUUGGGAAGAAAAAGCUUCGGCGAAUAUCCGGAGUGUUGACGGUACCAACAGAAUAAGCACCGGCUAACUCUGUGCCAGCAGCCGCCGCGG